UAAAUGGAUUUUUUAAAAUCCAUUCAUAUAGUUAUAUGCUUCAUA
rfam:Otolemur garnettii contig091268, whole genome shotgun sequence.